AACUUCGUAUCCAAACGGAGUCCACCACCAGCCCAAAACACCAACGUCUGUUUCUGGGUAAACUCUUGAGAGCAAAAACGCAAGCACAAGAAGCUCAACCUCAGAUCUCUUCGAACUGCAACUCUCAUUCGCAUCAAAGAGAGAAACUUUGCCCUAAAAUGGCACUCAAUCUUCGUCAGAGACAGACCGAAUGCAUUACUCGAUUGUUGAAUAUGAAUCAACCGGUGAAUUCAAGCGGAACAGCGAACGAAGAGGUGUACAAGAUCUUGAUCUACGAUAGGUUUUGCCAAGACAUUCUCUCUCCUCUGAUCCAUGUCAAGGACCUCCGAAAGCAUGGUGUAACCCUGUAUUUCCUCAUUGAUAAGGAUCGAAAGCCCGUCCACGACGUCCCUGCCGUGUACUUCGUGCAAGCGACUCAACUCAACGUCCAACGGAUCGUCGCCGACGCCUCUCGAUCUCUCUACGAUUCGUUCCACCUCAACUUCUCGUCGUCGAUACCUCGGCCGCUUCUCGAAGAUCUUGCAUCCGGGACGCUCAAUUCCGACGCGAUUCAUCGAAUUUCGAAGGUACAUGAUCAGUACUUGGAGUUUGUAACCCUAGAGGAUAAUUUGUUUUCGCUUGCGAAUAAAUCUUGUUAUGUUCAAUUGAACGAUCCCUCGGCUGGAGAUCGUGAAAUUGAGGAAAUAAUUGAGAAAAUUGCGAGUGGGUUGUUCAGUGUGUUGGCUACACUUGCUGUUGUUCCGAUUAUUAGGUGCCCACGUGGUGGGCCGGCCGAGCUGGUGUCGGCUUUGCUUGAUCAGAGGUUGCGAGACCAUUUGUUGGCUAAGAAUAAUUUGUUUUCUGAAGGAGGGAAUUUUACGAGUUCAUUUCAGAGGCCGAUUUUGUGUAUAUUUGAUCGGAAUUUUGAGUUAGCAGUUGCAAUACAACAUGAUUUUAGGUAUCGGCCACUUGUUCAUGAUGUGCUUGGUUUGAGGCUGAAUAGGUUGAGUGUGCAAGGUGAAAAAGGUGGGAUGAAAUCGUAUGAAUUGGAUAGAUCUGACCCAUUUUGGGUGGCAAAUGGCUUGUUGGAAUUUCCUGAAGUAGCUGUGGAGAUUGAGACCCAAUUGAAUAAAUAUAAGAAGGAUGUUGAUGAGGUGAACAGGCGGACUGGUGGGAAUGAUGGGGCUGAAUUUGAUGGGACGGAUUUGAUUGGCAACACAAAGCAUUUGAUGAAUGCAGUGAACUCGCUGCCUGAGUUGACUGAGCGGAAGCAGGUGAUUGAUAGGCACACUAAUAUUGCUACUGUGUUGUUGGGUGAGAUUAAGGAGAGGUCUCUUGAUUCUUAUGCCAAAAAGGAGACUGACAUGAUGGUUAGAGGUGGCAUUGAUCGGAGUGAGCUUAUUGGUGCACUCAAAGGAAAAGGGACUAAGAUGGAUAAGCUGCGAUUUGCGAUCAUGUAUCUUAUUUCUACUGAAAGCCUUCCUCAGUCUGAAGUGGAAAUGGUUGAAGCCGCUCUGAGGGAGUCUGAGGUUGAUACUAGUGCGUUUCAGUAUGUAAAAAAGAUAAAGUCACUAAAUGUUUCUUUUGCGUCGGCAAAUUCUGCCAGCAGAGGCAACAUUGUGGAUUGGGCAGAGAAGCUCUAUGGUCAGUCAAUUAGUGCUGUGACUGCUGGUGUGAAGAAUCUGUUGUCUAGUGAUCAUCAACUGGCAUUGACAAGGACAGUUGAGGCCUUGAUGGAUGGGAGACAGAAUACUGAAAUUGACCCUUACCUUAUGUUUGAUCCUCGUGCUCCUAAGUCAAGCUCUGGGUCAAGUAGCAGCAAAGGACCAUUUAAAGAAGCUAUUGUAUUUAUGAUUGGUGGUGGGAAUUAUGUGGAAUAUGGGAGCUUGCAAGAGCUUGCACAGCGUCAGCAGCCAGUUAAACAUGUUGUAUAUGGAACGACAGAAAUUCUCACUGGAGGCGAGUUUGUUGACCAGCUUGCACUGCUAGGGCAGAAGAUGGGAUUAGGCAACAGUGUUGCUGCUUCAGCCCAAUAAAACUGAUGUAUCUUUUGUCUGCUUUCUGAAGCAUACUUUUUGGUGAUUUAUGUAUGGAGAAGGCUGUGAUCUUCAACGAGUCCAUGUGAGUGAGUAAAUUCUAUACCUGAAGCUGCUAAUCUGGGAAGUAAUGGGGAGGUUUAGCUAUGCCUUCUCUUUUUUAUUUUGAUCCCCAAUGAUGGUUUUCAAUUGUGAUGCAUACAGAAGAACCAAAUGCGUGCCUUACUUUUGGUGCUGGUUUCUGCAUGAGCUGCAUAGCCUACCAUUUUUAGUGCGUGUGGUUCUUCCUCUAUUCUUAUGCUGUAAAUUGUUGGAAAUCUAUCUUCUCGGAUGUCCCCCAUUUACUGUUUUCGCUUUCAAUUAAACUCUCAAAGCGUCGAUGUUUAAAAAUAUAAACUUUAUGCCUAUUGAUUUAAUAUAGGGGAUAUUACCCAUAUGCGUGCUAGUGAAGUGAUCGUAAGCAAACACACAGAAUUUGUUUUUCCCAUUUCAUUGGCAAGCAUGGUUGUAAAGUUUGCCUUUUUACUGCUACUUGAGAACAAUUGGCUGUUUACCUCCUU